CCCCUAGAUGUUCUGGGCCGCACGCGCGCUACACUGAACAGUUCAACAAGUCUUAACCUUGGCCGAUAGGUCUGGGUAAUCUUUGAACGCUGUUCGUGAUUGGGAUAGACCUUUGCAAUUAUGGGUCUUCAACGAGGAAUUCCUAGUAAACGCAAGUCAUCAGCUUGCAUUGAUUACGUCCCUGCCCUUUGUACACACCGCCCGUCGCACCUACCGAUUGAAUGGUCCGGUGAAAUCUCGGGACGGCGGCUUGGUCGCUUGCGUCCGACCGCUGAAACUUGAUUAAACCAUAUCAUUUAGAGGAAGGUGAANUCGUANCA
rnacentral:rRNA from 1 species